AUUGAACGCUGGCGGCAGGCCUAACACAUGCCAGUCGAGCGGAUGAAGGGAGCUUGCUCCUGGAUUCAGCGGCGGACGGGAGAGUAAUGCCUAGGAAUCUGCCUGGUAGUGGGGGAUAACGUCCGGAAACGGGCGCUAAUACCGCAUACGUCCUGAGGGAGAAAGUGGGGGAUCUUCGGACCUCACGCUAUCAGAUGAGCCUAGGUCGGAUUAGCUAGUUGGUGGGGUAAAGGCCUACCAAGGCGACGAUCCGUAACUGGUCUGAGAGGAUGAUCAGUCACACUGGAACUGAGACACGGUCCAGACUCCUACGGGAGGCAGCAGUGGGGAAUGUUGGACAAUGGGCGAAAGCCUGAUCCAGCCAUGCCGCGUGUGUGAAGAAGGUCUUCGGAUUGUAAAGCACUUUAAGUUGGGAGGAAGGGCAGUAAGUUAAUACCUUGCUGUUUUGACGUUACCAACAGAAUAAGCACCGGCUAACUUCGUG
rnacentral:rRNA from 1 species